rnacentral:rRNA from 1 species
CCCUUAGAUGUUCUGGGCCGCACGCGUGCUACACUGAGUGGAUCAGCGGGUCAGGUUGCGCGAAAGUGUUUCCUAAUCUUGAAAUCCGCUCGUGAUGGGGAUUGACGGUUGCAAUUUUCCGUCAUGAACGAGGAAUACCUUGUAAGCGCGGGUCAUCAUCCCGCGCUGAAUACGUCCCUGCCCUUUGUACACACCGCCCGUCGCUCCUACCGAUUGAGUGGUCCGGUGAGGCUUUGGGAUCUGAGCGUAAAGAGCGUUUCGCUGUUUCUGCUCGGAAAACUCAGUCGAACCUUAUCAUUUAGAGGAAGGAGAAGUCGUAACA